rnacentral:misc_RNA from 1 species
GCUGGAUCUAUCACUAGUUGCCACAAACUUACUUUUAAACCAAACAAUGAGAAAAUGUGGGCUUAUUGUAGAUGGUAAACAAAGAAUUGAUCUUUGGCAAAAGAAAUUUGUCAUCCCUUAAGAAAUUGUUUAAAGGCUUAUAGUCAGUGAUGAGCCUUUUAUUUACCCGAAGUUUUUCUGAUCUUUUUUCCACAUAAAUUGCUUGACAUGCCCAAUCAAAAUUGGUUAACUCUAUAAGGCCUUAUUGUAGUAACUGUUGACAUUCCUUUUGAGUAAGGA